AUUGAACGCUGGCGGCAGGCCUAACACAUGCAAGUCGAACGAGUGGCGGACGGGUGAGUAAUGUCUGGGAAACUGCCCGACGGAGGGGGAUAACUACUGGAAACGGUAGCUAAUACCGCCUACCAUCGGAUGUGCCCUGAUGGGAUUAGCUAGUAGGUGGGGUAACGGCUCACCUGGGCGACGCUCCCUAGCUGGUCUGAGAGGAUGACCAGCCACCCUGGAACUAGGACACGGUCCAGACUCCUACGUGAGGCAGCAGUGGGGAUUAUUCCACAAUGGGCGCAAGCCUGAUGCAGCCAUGCCGCGUGUAUGAAGAAGGCCUUCGGGUUGUAAAGUACUUUCAUCGGGGAGGCGUUACUCGCAGAAGAAGCACCGGCUAACUCCGUGCCAGCCGCCGCGGUAAUAC
rnacentral:rRNA from 1 species